rnacentral:sRNA from 1 species
AUGCCCGGUGGUGUAGCAGUUAACUACGCUGCCAGGUGUCCCAGAAGGGGCGCGGGUUCGAAUCCCGCAGGGCUCACUUAACCAAUUUCCACUGUUAAAUCACCAAACAGUACCAGAAGUCCCCGGGUUCGGAGGCAUUCGGGCACUAAUUCUCACUGAUCUUGUGGGGCUAGAACCCCCCAGGCACUUCAAGUUAGAUCAGUGCUGGGUAGAUUAGUGGGAUGGUGGUGGGGUAGUGGGUGGAGCAACCUGCAGGAUAGCAAAUCAUCAUCAAGCUUAACUGGCCAGAGAUUCAUUGCACUGCCCCAUUCAGCCCCACUAAUCUAUCUAGGCACUCCUAAAUUCCAGGGAAUAGAUUUAAUCACUAUCCAAUUAGAACACCCCAGGCCUAGUGAGGACCUAGGUGAGAUGAGGCCUAGACAUUCUUAAUAGGUGGUUAGUGCAAGCAAGGCUGUGAUGGUCAAUUGGUAGGCUGGAAUGCUGAGAUUGACAGCUGGAAGAUUGAGAGAUUUAACUAGAAUUGGAUAGCUCUGGUGAUAUUCUUAGUGAGGAUCCCACUUAGAGAGGCUAGUUAAGGAUCCCAGGUGGGCAGUGGCACCCUAGGGGGAAUGAUAACCCCUAAUGAUGGCCUGAGAGGACAGAGACAGCAGCUGGUUAUAUAGGGUGUUAAGAUAUGUAUAUAGCUCAAGGUGUAAACUGCAGAGGUUUGUUCUAUAGUAUUAUUUAUAUCUUUCAUUUAUUGAUUUGAAAAGCUUGUCUGGAGUGAAUUUUGUAAUAAGUCUCUUUAAUUGUUGAUUGAUUCUGGGUUGGAAUUCUGUAUUGCAAGCUAUUAGUACUAGAAAAACCUUGAGCAAUACUCAGAUGAGUGUCAUAGUCUCUGACUGAAUAUGCCCUA